GGCGAACGGGUGAGUAACACGUAGGUAACCUGUCCUUCAAGACGAGGAUAACCAUUGGAAACGAUGGAUAAUACUGGAUAGGACAAAUCCCCGCAAUGAGGAGAUGUUUAAAGGAGCAAUCCACUUGAUGAGGGGCCUGCGGUGCGAUUAGUUAGUUGGUGAGGUAACGGCCACCAAGACGAUGAUGCAUAGCCGGACUGAGAGGUUGAACGGCCACAAUGGAACUGAGAACGGUCCAUACUCCUACGGGAGGCAGCAGUAGGGAAUUUUCGGCAAUGGGCGGAAGCCUGACCGAGCAAUGCCGCGUGAAUGAAGAAGUAUUUCGGUAUGUAAAGUUCUUUUAUUUGGGAAGAAAAAACAAAUUGACGGUACCAAAUGAAUAAGCUCCGGCUAACUACGUGCCAGCCGCGGC
rnacentral:rRNA from 1 species